GACGAACGCUGGCGGCGUGCCUAAUACAUGCAAGUCGAACGCUUUUUCUUUCACCGGAGCUUGCUCCACCGAAAGAAAAAGAGUGGCGAACGGGUGAGUAACACGUGGGUAACCUGCCCAUCAGAAGGGGAUAACACUUGGAAACAGGUGCUAAUACCGUAUAACCCUAUUUUCCGCAUGGAAGAAAGUUGAAAGGCGCGUUUGCGUCACUGAUGGAUGGACCCGGGGUGCAUUAGCUAGUUGGUGAGGUAACGGCUCACCAAGGCAACGAUGCAUAGCCGACCUGAGAGGGUGAUCGGCCACACUGGGACUGAGACACGGCCCAGACUCCUACGGGAGGCAGCAGUAGGGAAUCUUCGGCAAUGGACGAAAGUCUGACCGAGCAACGCCGCGUGAGUGAAGAAGGUUUUCGGAUCGUAAAACUCUGUUGUUAGAGAAGAACAAGGAUGAGAGUAAAAUGUUCAUCCCUUGACGGUAUCUAACCAGAAAGCCACGGCUAACUACGUGCCAGCCGCCGCAGUAA
rnacentral:rRNA from 1 species